rnacentral:rRNA from 1 species
GUGUCAGCAGCCGCGGUAAAACGUAGGACGCAAGCGUUAUCCGGAGUUACUGGGCGUAAAGGGCGUGCAGGCGGCUUGACAAGUUCUUUGUGAAAGCGCCCGGCUAAACUGGGCGAGUGCAGGGAAGACUGUCAGGCUAGAGGGUGGUAGAGGGACAUAGAAUUCCGGGUGUAGUGGUGAAAUGCGUAGAGAUCCGGAGGAAUACCAGAGGCGAAGGCGGUGUCCUGGGCCAUUUCUGACGCUAAGACGCGACAGCAUGGGGAGCAAACGGGAUUAGAAACCCUUGUAGUCC